UCAUUUUAUUAAUUAAUUCAAAUAAUUAUUUUUACAUACACCAUAUUACAUAUAAUACAUACCCAUUAUGUUAUACAUCAUGAGUACAUUUUCAGGAAAAUAAAAAUAAAAGAGAAAAAGGAGAUCUUAUCUUCAGCUUCAAGCUUCCACUUCAUAUUUCCCUCGCCAUCAGCGUCCUCUUCAAGCUAUAGCUUCAAGUCACAUGAAAAUAAACUUUAAAAAAAAACAAUCAACAUAAAAAUUGCAUUAAGAAAGCCAUUCGAACAUGGUCAAACUUCAAACUCA
rnacentral:lncRNA from 1 species